GAUGAACGCUGGCGGCGUGCUUAACACAUGCAAGUCGAACGGAAAGGCCCAAGCUUGCUUGGGUACUCGAGUGGCGAACGGGUGAGUAACACGUGGGUGAUCUGCCCUGCACUUCGGGAUAAGCCUGGGAAACUGGGUCUAAUACCGGAUAGGACCACAUUUUGGAUGGUGUGGUGGAAAGUUUUUCGGUGUGGGAUGAGCUCGCGGCCUAUCAGCUUGUUGGUGGGGUAAUGGCCUACCAAGGCGUCGACGGGUAGCCGGCCUGAGAGGGUGUACGGCCACAUUAGGACUGAGAUACGGCCCAGACUCCUACGGGAGGCAGCAGUGGGGAAUAUUGCACAAUGGGCGCAAGCCUGAUGCAGCGACGCCGCGUGGGGGAUGACGGCCUUCGGGUUGUAAACUCCUUUCGCUAGGGACGAAGCGUUAUGUGACGGUACCUGGAGAAGAAGCACCGGCUAACUACGUG
rnacentral:rRNA from 1 species